AUUGAACGCUGGCGGCAGGCCUAACACAUGCAAGUCGAACGAGUGGCGGACGGGUGAGUAAUGUCUGGGAAACUGCCUGAUGGAGGUGGAUAACUACUGGAAACGGUAGCUAAUCCCGCCUACCAUCAUAUGUGCCCAGAUGGGCUUAGCUAGUUGGUGGGGUACAGGUUCACCAAGGCGCCGAUCCCUAGCUGGGCUGAGAGGAUGACGAGGCAAUCUGGAACUGAGAGACGUUCCAGACGCCUAAGGGAGGCAGGAUGUGUGAAUAUGGCACAAUGGGCGCAAGGCUGAUGAAGCCAUGCCGCGUGUGUGAAGAAGGCGUUCGGGUUGUAAAGGUCGUUAAGCGGGGAGGCGUUACCCGCAGAAGAAGCACAGGCUAACUCCGUGCCAGCAGCCGCGGUAAUUC
rnacentral:rRNA from 1 species